GGGCUCGUAGCUCAGUCUGGUAGAGCACCACCCUUGCAAGGUGGGGGCCACGGGUUCGAAUCCCGUCGAGUCCA
rnacentral:tRNA from 1 species